rnacentral:rRNA from 1 species
CCUACGGGAGGCAGCAGUGAGGAAUAUUGGUCAAUGGGCGCGAGCCUGAACCAGCCAAGUCGCGUGAGGGAAGACGGCCCUACGGGUUGUAAACCUCUUUUGUCGGGGAGCAAAGCGAACCACGUGUGGUUCAUUGAGAGUACCCGAAGAAAAAGCAUCGGCUAACUCCGUGCCAGCAGCCGCGGUAAUACGGAGGAUCCAAGCGUUAUCCGGAUUUAUUGGGUUUAAAGGGUGCGUAGGUGGAUUGAUAAGUUAGAGGUGAAAUGUCCGAGCUUAACUCGGGAACUGCCUCUAAUACUGUUGAUCUAGAGAGUAGAUGCGGUAGGCGGAAUGUAUGGUGUAGCGGUGAAAUGCUUAGAGAUCAUACAGAACACCGAUUGCGAAGGCAGCUUACCAAUCUAUAUCUGACGUUGAGGCACGAAAGCGUGGGGAGCAAACAGGAUUAGAUACCCCAGUAGUC